UGUCGUUCAUUUACUUCUUCCAAGUACUUUUUCAGCUUCACAUAUUUUAGUUUCAUUAGGUACGCAUCAGAACUUUUGUAUUCCAUCAGCUUCCUUUCCAAUUCUAGCCUUCUGGUUUCACUGUCUCGGAGGCACCGCAGGAGGCCGCCAAGCUGCUGGCUGCGGGACGGAGAGACCUCAGGGCACGGCCCGGCCGCCGCUCGGCCCGCUUCGCUCAUGCCGCGCUGUUUACG
rnacentral:lncRNA from 1 species